rnacentral:rRNA from 1 species
GAUGAACGCUGGCGGCGUGCCUAAUACAUGCAAGUCGAGCGAACAGAUCAGGAGCUUGCUCCUCUGACGUUAUCGGCGGACGGGUGAGUAACACGUGGAUAACCUACCUAUAAGACUGGGAUAACUUCGGGAAACCGGAGCUAAUACCGGAUAAUAUAUUGAACCGCAUGGUUCACUAGUUAAAGACGGUUUUGCUGUCACUUAUAGAUGGAUCCGCGCCGCAUUAGCUAGUUGGUAAGGUAACGGCUUACCAAGGCAACGAUGCGUAGCCGACCUGAGAGGGUGAUCGGCCACACUGGAACUGAGACACGGUACAGACUCCUACGGGAGGCAGCAGUAGGGAAUCUUCCGCAAUGGGCGAAAGGCUGACGGAGCAACGCCGCGUGAGUGAUGAAGGUCUUCGGAUCGUAAAACUCUGUUAUUAGGGAAGAACAAAUGUGUAAGUAACUAUGCACGUCUUGACGGUACCUAAUCAGAAAGCCACGGCUAACUACGUG